rnacentral:rRNA from 1 species
UACGUAGGGGGCAAGCGUUGUCCGGAUUUAUUGGGCGUAAAGAGCUCGUAGGCGGUUCGAUAAGUCAGGUGUAAAAACUCCAGGCUCAACUUGGAGAGGCCACCUGAUACUGUCGUGACUAGAGUCCGGUAGAGGAGCACGGAAUUCCUGGUGUAGCGGUGAAAUGCGCAGAUAUCAGGAGGAACACCAGCGGCGAAGGCGGUGCUCUGGGCCGGAACUGACGCUGAGGAGCGAAAGCGUGGGGAGCGAACAGG